AAUUAUUUAGAAGAAAGUGUAUUGUAAUUUGAGAAGGUCUUUCAAGGACGUUCAGUGUUUCGGGAUGCAUGAGGAGGGGUCAUUUCGCAAUUUCCCAGUUGUCUAGAGGAACAGAAGGGUAAUCGGAGUAUAUUCAUUUUUUUUUUGUCUCCGAUUCAUGAUGGUUCGUCCCACCGCACCGCUCCCAGAUUUGGAACAGCACACAAGUCUAAUAGGGGAACGAGAGAGUUCGAAAUAACAUAAUGCUUAACUAAGCGUGUCCGCGAUCGUCAUUAGUACGCAAUAAUGGUUUAAUGGUUAGGUUAGCGUGCUCUUCGAUUCAACAUAACGUAACACGGACGUGUUAUUCUGAUGAUGUGCGGCGGCAAGAGUUUUCACCAUAUAUAUACGGGGUUGGUUGUACCAAUCGAAAUCGACUAUACGACUACUUUUAGAUACGUCCCGGUUGGAUACCUUUUGUUUACCCGGGUUUAUACUCUUCAGAAAGAAAAAAGAGAAACCCGUUCGCAUUUGAAACCCAAAGCCGCUAACUCGGAUCAUCGCUUAUAUACUACCAGAGGCACCCUUUACAUUGUUCUAUCCGUAAGGAUCUUCAAGAACCACUGAAUUCUAUAUAUGUUCGAUAGAUAUCACUGCGGAGUUUCGACGCUUUCAACAAUGGAAUGGAAAAAAACCCUUUACUACAAUAUGUACACUCCAAAUUGUUUCAACGAACGGAUAAAGAUUCGAGAGAUUCAAGAAGGAAUGAAAAUAAUGACGGUUGCCACAGGUCAGGAAAAUCAGGGAAUUCAGGAAAAGGUCAAGGAAAGUAGAAUUAGCCAGGGAAAAAUCAGGAAUUUUUAUAAAAAGUACUGGAAAAAAUUUCUUUUUCUAUUUCUACGACCACAAUGGAUUUUUGAAUAUUGUUCAAUUAUUUCAAAAGUUUUAACGCAGUUAUCUUGAUCUUUGCGGUUCUGGUGCUACUAGUGAAAAAAAUGCUGCAAAUCAGAUGAAAGAUUGUGUCCUUGCCUCCAUUAUCUGAAUUUUCGGAAAAAGAAAUGUUAAAACUUCGUUGAAAUGUUGAAGAAUUAACCAGAAUUCUUGGGAAACGGAGUGAAAUAUUUCACUGAAGAUUGUCCUCGCUAUUCGCUGCCUCAGAAAUUAUCAAUUUUGGAAAUAUUUGAUGAACGGAGGAGAAAAUGUGCAAAUACUAUGUGGCCUCUAUUUUCUAAAUGAGAAAUUUUCAACACCAAACGGUAGUAAUUAAUUUUGGAACUAUGUAAUUGAUGAAUUGACGACAAAAUAUUUUAAUUCUGCAAUGCUGUAUGAAUUGUGCCUACAAUUUCCUGAAACCAGAGAUUGAUCAAUUUUGGAUCUAUUUGAUGAACUGAGGAAACGAAUGUCCAAUACUUUAAGAGUAAAGUUUGCUGCGCUGCAUAUAAUCAAAAAGUUUCCUAUGGAGAAGCUAUAAGACUUGUGUCUCUGGUGUGUAAAUAAUAAAUGAACGAAAGAGAGUGAAGCAGCUUUGAAAGGAAAUCGAAAAAAUCAGUAUGUUGACCUCUCAUGGGAUUAUUUGGAGGUCAAAGAGCAAGGAAUGCGUGGUGAGGUCGUGACCCAGUGAGAGGCCGACCGAUGGGUGAUGGUACCGCAUGGUGGGCUAGAUCGACUGAACUGGAUAUAUCCUGAUAAUACUGCCAAUAGUAAAUACAAACACGGAAAGAGAAUCCUCAUUAAGUUUUGAGACGUAUUUUUUUCAAUUUGAUAAAGCGUCGUCAAAAUAUGUCUGGAGUCAUUGUGUCGCAGAUUUAAAGUUGAUAAUGCUGGUGUAUCUGUCGCUGUCGUAAACAUCAUAAGAAUCAUGAUAAUAAUUACUACGCACAUGGAAAGAGAAAUAUCGUAAAAUUUGGAACCGAAUUAUUUUCAAUUUGCUAAAGUAUCGUCAAAAUACGUUUGGAGUCACAGAUUUAAGAAGAUAGUCAACAAAUUGUCAACUUCGAUUAUAUCAAUUCUCAGUUGAGGGUCACAUUUACACCAGCAACGAGUGGAGAGCCGAAAAGAAACCACAACAUUUGUCCGUCUAUACCGGUAUACGUAACUUCGUAAUAGUGAUUGCCCUCAGUAGUGUCGUGUCGGUUGUGUGCAUCGAAUAAU